UGCCACAGCUAUAUCACCCUGCAGCGCAAGACUGGCAACUAACUGAAGCUAAGCAGGGCUGAGCCUGGUCAAUACCUGGAUGGGUGACCCGAUGGGAAAGUUAGGUUGCUGUUGGAA
ensembl:rRNA 5S_rRNA 5S ribosomal RNA